UACGGGGGGGGCAAGCGUUGUUCGGAAUUACUGGGCGUAAAGGGCUCGUAGGCGGCCAACUAAGUCAGAUGUGAAAGCCCCGAGCUCAACUUGGGAACUGCAUUUGAAACUGGCGGGCUGGAGUGUGGCAGAGGGGGGUGGAAUUCCACGUGUAGCAGUGAAAUGCGUAGAGAUGUGGAGGAACACCGAUGGCGAAGGCAGCCCCCUGGGCCAACACUGACGCUCAGGCACGAAAGCGUGGGGAGCAAACAGG
rnacentral:rRNA from 1 species